UUAGAAUUAGGUUAAAAGCCCAAGGUAAAAAGAAGAAUGGGCCUGGCAAUAGAGUUGAUUGAACUGACUGAAGGGUACCAUGAGGAAAUCAAGGAAAAUAGGUUUAUUACUAAGGAAAGUCCUCAGGUCGGAAGGUCUUCAGGUCGGUAGGUCCUCAAGACGGAAAGUCAUUAGGACGGAAGGACCUCAGGUCGGUAGGUCCUCAAGACGGAAAGUCAUUAGGACGGAAGGACUUCAGGUCGGGAAGACCUCAAGGCGGAAAGACCUCAAGUCGGAAGGUUUUCAGGUCGGGAAGUCCUCAAGACGGAAAGACCUCAAGUCGGAAGGUUUUCAGGUCGGGAAGUCCUCAAGGCGGAAAGACCUCAAGUCGGAAGGUUUUCAGG